rnacentral:rRNA from 1 species
GAUUUCUGGUACAAUGCACCUGGCCCGCGGCCUAUUAGGCUUGUGAGUGCCGGCGCGCGUUUACCAUCCUUCUAGAAAACAGGCCUGCCCUUUACUGGGUUGGGUUUGCGAUCUAGAUCUUUUACUUUGAAAAAAUUAGAGUGUUUAAAGCAGGCUUUUGCUAUGAAUACAUUAGCAUGGAAUAAUAAUCUAGGACUUCGGUUCUAUUUUGUUGGUUUCUAUAACUGAAGUAAUGAUUGAUAGGGAUAGUUGGGGGUGCUAGUAUUCAGAGGCCAGAGGUGAAAUUCUUGGAUUCUCUGAAGACUCACUUAGGCGAAAGCAUU